rnacentral:rRNA from 1 species
GACGUAGGGGGCCAGCGUUGUUCGGAAUUACUGGGUGUAAAGGGUUCGUAGGCGGUGUGCCAAGUCGGGAGUGAAAUCUCUGGGCUCAACUCAGAGACUGCUUCCGAAACUGCUGUGCUGGAGUGUGGGAGAGGCGCGUGGAAUUGCAGGUGUAGCGGUGAAAUGCGUAGAUAUCUGCAGGAACACCCGUGGCGAAAGCGGCGCGCUGGACCACUACUGACGCUGAGGAACGAAAGCUAGGGGAGCAAACAGG